rnacentral:rRNA from 1 species
CUGGUUGAUCCUGCCAGCUAGCAUAUGCUUGUCUCAAAGAUUAAGCCAUGCAUGUCUAAGUACGCACGGCCGGUACAGUGAAACUGCGAAUGGCUCAUUAAAUCAGUUAUGGUUCCUUUGGUCGCUCGCUCCUCUCCUACUUGGAUAACUGUGGUAAUUCUAGAGCUAAUACAUGCCGACGGGCGCUGACCCCCUUCGCGGGGGGGAUGCGUGCAUUUAUCAGAUCAAAACCAACCCGGUCAGCCUCCUCCCGGCCCCGGCCGGGGGGCGGGCGCCGGCGGCUUUGGUGACUCUAGAUAACCUCGGGCCGAUCGCACGCCCCCCGUGGCGGCGACGACCCAUUCGAACGUCUG